GACUGACCUUCUGGGGCUAGAACCCCCCAAGAUGCGUAUCUAUCCAGUACUGAUCUAACUUGAUGGUGGCGUGGUGGUGGAGCAACCCGCAGGAUGGCGAAUCGUUGUCAAGCUUAACUGGUCGGAAAUUCACCACCAUUUCACUCACUAACUAUCUAGACAUCUCCAAAUUCUGGGAAAUUAACAUUUAAAAACUACCUAAUCAGGGCAUCCAGGGCCCAGCAAAGACCUAGAUGAGACAAGGCCUAGGUGCUCUCAAUAGAUGGUUAGAAUAAGCAAGGCCAUGACCACCAAUUGAUAGACCAGAAUACUGAGAUUGACAGCUGGA
rnacentral:sRNA from 2 species